GCUUGGUGGGACUUAGAAUAUCCGGACUGGAGAUUAUAGGUAGCUAGGACACGUUUUUCCUCAAAUGAGACACGUUAAUCUCUGGAAUCGUAUCCGCUGAUGUAGGAGACUCGGAUAUACUACAGGACUGCCAGCAAGGAACCGCAGGAACGUCCACUGGCACGCACUCAGAGUCCGCACCACCUGAGCAGUCAGAGCCCAUUCAGUCCAGCGUCUCCCGUGUCUCUAAU